rnacentral:rRNA from 1 species
CCUACGGGCGGCAGCAGUGAGGAAUAUUGGUCAAUGGACGAGAGUCUGAACCAGCCAAGUAGCGUGAAGGAUGACUGCCCUAUGGGUUGUAAACUUCUUUUAUAUGGGAAUAAAAUGUUCCAAGUGUGGGAUUUUGUAUGUACCAUAUCUAUAAGGAUCGGCUAACCUCGUGCCAGCAGCCGCGGUAAUACGGAGGGUCCGAGCGUUACCCGGAUUUAGUGGGUUUAAAGGGAGCGUAGGUGGGUUGUUAAGUCAGUUGUGAAAGUUUGCGGCUCAACCGUAAAAUUGCAUUUGAAACUGGCAGUCUUGAGUACAGUAGAGGUAGGCGGAAUUCGUGGUGUAGCGGUGAAAUGCUUAGAUAUCACGAAGAACUCCGAUUGCGAAGGCAGCUCACUGGACUGCAACUGACACUGAGGCUCGAAAGUGUGGGUAUCAAACAGGAUUAGAUACCCGGGUAGUC